GGGUCGUAAACUUCUUUUAUAUGGGAAUAAAGUUUUCCACGUGUGGAAUUUUGUAUGUACCAUAUGAAUAAGGAUCGGCUAACUCCGUGCCAGCAGCCGCGGUAAUACGGAGGAUCCGAGCGUUAUCCGGAUUUAUUGGGUUUAAAGGGAGCGUAGGUGGAUUGUUAAGUCAGUUGUGAAAGUUUGCGGCUCAACCGUAAAAUUGCAGUUGAAACUGGCAGUCUUGAGUACAGUAGAGGUGGGCGGAAUUCGUGGUGUAGCGGUGAAAUGCUUAGAUAUCACGAAGAACUCCGAUUGCGAAGGCGGCUCACUAGACUGUUACUGACACUGAUGCUCGAAAGUGUGGGUAUCAAACAGGAUUAGAUACCCUGGUAGUCCACACAGUAAA
rnacentral:rRNA from 1 species